GACGAACGCUGGCGGCGUGCUUAACACAUGCCAGUCGAACGGAAAGGCCUCUUUCGGUGGGUACUCGAGUGGCGAACGGGUGAGUAACACGUGAGUAACCUGCCCUUGACUUUGGGAUAACUUCAGGAAACUGGGGCUAAUACCGGAUAGGAGCUCCUGCUGCAUGGUGGGGGUUGGAAAGUUUCGGCGGUUGGGGAUGGACUCGCGGCUUAUCAGCUUGUUGGUGGGGUAGUGGCUUACCAAGGCUUUGACGGGUAGCCGGCCUGAGAGGGUGACCGGCCACAUUGGGACUGAGGUACGGCCCAGACUCCUACGGGAGGCAGCAGUGGGGAAUAUUGCACAAUGGGUGGAAGCCUGAUGCAGCAACGCCGUGUGCGGGAUAACGGCCUUCGGGUUGUAAACCGCUUUCGCUCAUGACGAAGCUUUGUGUGACGGUAGUGGGUAAAGAAGCACCGGCUAACUACGUG
rnacentral:rRNA from 1 species